UACGUAGGUGGCAAGCGUUGUCCGGAAUUACUGGGUGUAAAGCGCGUGUAGGCGGCAGGCCAAGUCUGCGGUGAAAGCGCCCGGCUCAACUGGGCGAGGUCCGUGGAAACUGGUCAGCUGGAGGACGGUAGAGGCGAGUGGAAUUCCCGGUGUAGUGGUGAAAUGCGUAGAGAUGUGGAGGAACACCGAUGGCGAAGGCAGCCCCCUGGGUCAAGAUUGACGCUCAUGCACGAAAGCGUGGGGAGCAAACAGG
rnacentral:rRNA from 1 species